rnacentral:rRNA from 1 species
GAUGAACGCUGGCGGCGUGCCUAAUACAUGCAAGUCGAGCGAACAGAUAAGGAGCUUGCUCCUUUGACGUUAGCGGCGGACGGGUGAGUAACACGUGGGUAACCUACCUAUAAGACUGGAAUAACUCCGGGAAACCGGGGCUAAUGCCGGAUAACAUUUAGAACCGCAUGGUUCUAAAGUGAAAGAUGGUUUUGUUAUCACUUAUAGAUGGACCCGCGCCGUAUUAGCUAGUUGGUAAGGUAACGGCUUACCAAGGCAACGAUACGUAGCCGACCUGAGAGGGUGAUCGGCCACACUGGAACUGAGACACGGUCCAGACUCCUACGGGAGGCAGCAGUAGGGAAUCUUCCGCAAUGGGCGAAAGCCUGACGGAGCAACGCCGCGUGAGUGAUGAAGGUCUUCGGAUCGUAAAACUCUGUUAUUAGGGAAGAACAAAUGUGUAAGUAACUGUGCACGUCUUGACGGUACCUAAUCAGAAAGCCACGGCUAACUACGUG